rnacentral:sRNA from 1 species
GCUGGGUAUGGUGGCGCACGCCUUUAAUCCCAGUGGCUCAGGAGGCUGAGACAGGAGGAUUGUGAGUUCAAAGCCAACCCCAGCAAUUUAAUUGCACUAAGCAACUCAGUGAGACCCUGUUUCUA